UUAUGGCAUCGCGCUCCUGGCGCAUUCAGCCAAACGAGUAAAACGGGGAAACGGAAUUGAAGGAUUACAAUAUAACGGAUAAUUCGGAAUUUUGGACAAGGAUCAGGGAAAGGUAAAGUAUAAUAAAUUAUAGUUUUAUAUUAUGACGUGAAAGGGAUGAAUAUAAUAUUUUAAAUACAUAUGGAGAGGAGUCAUUAAUAUGCAGGAGUGAUGUAAUGGAUGUAGGAAACGGAACUUUUAUAUCUGACAGCUGUCUUAAUAAUAAGGAACAAUCAUGUAGGUUACAAGCAAAAAAUAUAUGUUUAAGAUCAGCGGGAUCAGCUCCGCAAAUACAUGCAGAACUGGCCACGCGAUUUUGCAGUUUCAGGUGUUGCGGAGUACAUACGUGACCCAACCUCAUUCGGAUUAACAUACUAGUAGCCGGUUUUGACAAAGAGAUUUUAGCAAACCAUGGAUUCCAAAGCACUCGCCACUGUACACAGAGGAUUCUGGAGGCAGUUUUAUCUUUUGGAAAUACAUCAUCAGCUACUUCUGUGAUCACCCUGGCCAAAGCAACCGAGCAGCCAACUAUGUCAGUAUCAUCUAAACUAGGCAAAAACAACAAUUUCUUCUCUACACAGCUUUUGAAAUUUUUCCAGUCAGCAUUACAUAAAUUGUAUUUAAGCCUAGGGCUAGGUUUCGGAGAUGGACGUGUAGAUGAAGGAAAUGAGACUAUAAUUGGAAAAUGAUCACUACCAAAUGUAGAAUCAAGAGUUUGCCAGGUGAAAGAAGAUGCAAGUUCAGCAGAGCAAAUGGAUAGAUCAACAGCGCUGGGUGAUUCUGUAGGCGCUGUACGGCGAGUUGGAGAACCUGUAUUAAGUACACAAAGAUUGUGAUCAUCUAAGAUUUUUAAAACACGAAGUCCAUUAUAAUUGGAUACUGAACUGCCCCAAAACUGAUGGUGUGAGUUGAAAUCUCCUAGAAUCAACAAGGGCCUAGGCAGAGAGGAAAUUAUGUGUUCUAAUUCAUUAAAAAUAAAAGAUGAUUGAUGAGGAAUAUAUACAGAGAGAAUUCAGAUGUUAUUUACAAUGGCAGCAACAAUUGAGAAAUCAUCACUGUGAGAUGGAAGCUGUAGAGAUGAAAAUGAUUCAGAAUUCCUGACGAGUAAAGCUACUCCACCCCACCCGUCAGGACGGUCCUCUCUGAGGCAUGAAUAACCAGUAGCUCUGAGAAGAGCUCCAGGCUUGAGCCAUGUCUCAGAUAGGGCAAAAAAACAUGGAUUAAAUUUAUGUAAUAAAUGAAUUAAAUCAUG